rnacentral:rRNA from 1 species
CCUACGGGGUGCAGCAGUGGGGAAUAUUGGACAAUGGGCGAAAGCCUGAUCCAGCCAUGCCGCGUGUGUGAAGAAGGCCUUCGGGUUGUAAAGCACUUUCAGUGGGGAAGAAAGCCUUGGGGCUAAUACCCUCGAGGAAGGACAUCACCCACAGAAGAAGCACCGGCUAACUCCGUGCCAGCAGCCGCGGUAAUACGGAGGGUGCGAGCGUUAAUCGGAAUUACUGGGCGUAAAGCGCGCGUAGGCGGUCUGAUAAGCCGGUUGUGAAAGCCCCGGGCUCAACCUGGGAACGGCAUCCGGAACUGUCAGGCUAGAGGGCAGGAGAGGAAGGUAGAAUUCCCGGUGUAGCGGUGAAAUGCGUAGAGAUCGGGAGGAAUACCAGUGGCGAAGGCGGCCUUCUGGACUGACACUGACGCUGAGGUGCGAAAGCGUGGGUAGCAAACAGGAUUAGAUACCCCUGUAGUC